rnacentral:rRNA from 1 species
UACCUAUGAGUACUAUCCGGGAGACAGACUGCGGGUGCUAACGUCCGUAGUCAAGAGGAAAACAAUCCAGACCGCCAGCUAAGGCCCCAAAAUCAUAGUUAAGUGGGAAACGAUGUGGGAAGGCAUAGACAGCUAGGAGGUUGGCUUAGAAGCAGCCACCCUUUAAAGAAAGCGUAAUAGCUCACUAGUCGAGUCGGCCUGCGCGGAAGAUGUAACGGGGCUAAAACUAUGUGCCGAAGCUGCGGAUUUGACAUUAGUCAAGUGGUAGGGGAGCGUUCUGUAAGCCGAUGAAGGUGUAUUGAGAAGUAUGCUGGAGGUAUCAGAAGUGCGAAUGCUGACGUGAGUAACGACAAAACGGGUGAAAAACCCGUUCGCCGAAAGACCAAGGGUUCCAGUCCAACGUUAAUCGGGGCUGGGUGAGUCGACCCCUAAGGCGAGGCCGAAAGGCGUAGUCGAUGGGAAAAUGGUUAAUAUUCCAUUACUUCUGUGUAAUGCGAUGAGAGGACGGAGAAGGCUAAAUCAGCCUGGCGUUGGUUGUCCAGGUGAAAGGAUGUAGGCAUGUAUCUUAGGCAAAUCCGGGGUACUCUAUGCUGAGAUCUGAUAGCAAGCUGUACUUGUACAGCGAAGUGGUUGAUGCCAUGCUUCCAGGAAAAGUCUCUAAGCUUCAGUUACACAGGAAUCGUACCCGAAACCGACACAGGUGGUCAGGUCGAGUAGACCAAGGCGCUUGAGAGAACUCUGCUGAAGGAACUAGGCAAAAUGGUACCGUAACUUCGGGAGAAGGUACGCUGUUGUUGGUGAUGGAACUCGCUUCCUGAGCUGACGACAGCCGCAGAAACCAGGCCGCUGCAACUGUUUAUUAAAAACAUAGCACUCUGCAAACACGAAAGUGGACGUAUAGGGUGUGAUGCCUGCCCGGUGCUGGAAGGUUAAUUGAUGGGGUUAGCGUAAGCGAAGCUCUUGAUCGAAGCCCCAGUAAACGGCGGCCGUAACUAUAACGGUCCUAAGGUAGCGAAAUUCCUUGUCGGGUAAGUUCCGACCUGCACGAAUGGCAUAAUGAUGGCGGCGCUGUCUCCAGCAGAGGCUCAGUGAAAUCGAAAUCGCUGUGAAGAUGCAGUGUACCCGCGGCUAGACGGAAAGACCCCGUGAACCUUUACUGCAGCUUGACACUGAACUUUGACCUUACUUGUGUAGGAUAGGUGGGAGGCUUUGAAGCUGGAACGCUAGUUCCAGUGGAGCCGUCCUUGAAAUACCACCCUGGUAAUGUUGAGGUUCUAACUCUGUCCCGUGAUCCGGGACGAGGACCGUGUCUGGUGGGUAGUUUGACUGGGGCGGUCUCCUCCUAAAGAGUAACGGAGGAGUACGAAGGUGCGCUCAGCGUGGUCGGAAAUCACGCGUAGAGUAUAAAGGCAAAAGCGCGCUUAACUGCGAGACCCACAAGUCGAGCAGGUACGAAAGUAGGUCUUAGUGAUCCGGUGGUUCUGUAUGGAAGGGCCAUCGCUCAACGGAUAAAAGGUACUCUGGGGAUAACAGGCUGAUACCGCCCAAGAGUUCAUAUCGACGGCGGUGUUUGGCACCUCGAUGUCGGCUCAUCUCAUCCUGGGGCUGAAGCAGGUCCCAAGGGUAUGGCUGUUCGCCAUUUAAAGAGGUACGCGAGCUGGGUUUAGAACGUCGUGAGACAGUUCGGUCCCUAUCUACCGUGGGCGCUGGAAAUUUGAGAGGAUCUGCUCCUAGUACGAGAGGACCAGAGUGGACGAACCUCUGGUGUACCGGUUGUGACGCCAGUCGCAUCGCCGGGUAGCUAUGUUCGGAAGGGAUAACCGCUGAAAGCAUCUAAGCGGGAAGCCUACCUCAAGAUAAGAUUUCCCUAGGACUUUAUGUCCUCUAAAGAGCCGUUCGAGACUAGGACGUUGAUAGGUUGGAUGUGGAAGCAUAGUGAUAUGUGAAGCUGACCAAUACUAAUUGCUCGUGAGGCUUGACUAU